CUCAGGGCUGGAACCAAGCAGCCGCUAA
rnacentral:SRP_RNA from 12 species